rnacentral:lncRNA from 1 species
UAAUUAUUGGCCAGAAAAUUAAUCAAUAAAUACAAGGCAUGAUGAACAAUUCACUUCAACAUAAAUAAUUGGAAUAAAUUAGGUAAUCAAUUCAUAACCAUAAAAGGUUCCAUUGGAAUCUUAAUAAAAGGAAUUAGUUCAUGACGGAAUUAAAAACCAAUAAUCAUUUGUAAAACAUCCUUAAAGAAUUACAAAUUGAUAAUAAGGAGAAGAAGAAGAAAACUCUGUUGCCAAUCCUUAGUCUUCAAGUAAUCCUUGUAGUAGCCCCCAAUGAAUGAAUGAUUGAAUAGAUGAAUCAAACCCCCUUAAUUUCAGCACUUGGUCUCUUUUUAUAUCUUCCACAAUCCCAAUCCAAUUAGGCUUCACAUAAGCUCCCAAUAAUCAAGUCAGCCGAAAGUCAACGCUCGCAUCCUGGUCAACACCCAUCGAGGCUUAGCGCCCCGGCGCUGUGCUUAGUGUAAUUUCCAGCGCCUCGGCGCUGGACUUCUCUAAAAUUACCAUAUUGCCAUUAAAUGCCUGAAACUCCCAUAAACGCCCCUGCAGCUCCCGAUUCUGCAAAACAACAACUAAACACAAUAAAAAUGCUUCUAAAGAACUUGAGUAUACAAUAAUUUAAGUCCAAAUAUAUCCAAUUCAUGGGUAUAUUACCCAAUCAUCAAAUACCCCCAAACUUAAAUCGUUGCAUGUCCUCAAGCAACAAACACAAAACAAAACAAAAAUUAACUACCAUGCAAAUGCAAACUAUCUAUAUAUUCUUAAUCCCAACAAUUCAAUAGCUCACGUAUAUCCAUAGGCCUCAGAAAAAUCACAAAAACAUGCUAAUACAUCAUGUGAAAGCGGAUCAAUGAUAUCCCAACAAUCAACGAAUCUGAAUCUGUUAUUACUGAUAUUGUGAGUGUGUGUUCAACAACCAUGCUAACCCAUGAAAGGCAAAAAUAUGAAAGAUAAUAAAUUUCUUAGUAAGCAUCAUACAGUGUAACCUCGAGAACUCAUCAAAUAUACUUGUUUCAACUAAACUCAAACAAUCACCCGAAUUCAAGAGUCAAAAUGGAAUACUUAUGCUUUUUAUUUUUUUAUUUUAUUUUUAUAACGGGGGCUUUUUGCACUUUUCCCGGUUUAUUUGAAUUUUUUUUUUCUAAAUAUACAUAAAUGACUGUGCAAUGUCUCAUCCCAUUAGGCUUACAGUGUUACCCCUUAGCGAGCUUUCGACCAACGACUCCCAGACCAUGAAAGACCUUAGGGCGCUAGGUGUAAAGACAAUCCCCUCGGGCGUACUUGCUCAAGUAACAAAGGCCCCGAAACAAGACUAGUCACCAUGUAUACUUUUUUUUAUAUAUAUAUUUUUUUUAGCUUAUAUAUUCCAAAUAUUUUUCCCCCACACUCGAGUUUAUGUAUAAAUUCAGUCUUCACUAGCUAUUCAAAUUGUCCCUUCAUUUUACUAGCAAUCAUCCUUUAGAACUCUAUUAUCUAACCAUUUAAACUAUCAUAGCCAACAUGGUCGUUUUUCAAAGUGGUUUCCUAUAAUAUCAGUGUCAAACAAAUAAAGAUUCAAUUUAUGUCAAGAAAAUCACAUCACUGACUCAACAAUCCUUACUAGACUUGUUCAUGUAAUUCUAAAUUUAUCAUGGGCCUUCGAAUAAACACAUUAAGAAACGCUGGAAUUAUCAUGCAAUCCUAAAUGCAAUGUUUAACUAACAAUAACAAUCCAAAUCCACAAACUAAUAACAAACUACAACUUCGAAAAUAAAACUUAACUACCCCCAAACUAAUCUAGAGCAAUGUCCUCAUGCGAAAAAUAUAGCAAAAUAAAACAGAGGACUUCCCCGACGAGCUUAUUCCUCGGGUGGAGCAUCCUCAUCCUCGCUCAUCUCUUGAUCAGAAGGGGGGAAGACUAGCAGAAUUAGAGCAGUUGGGAAAUGGCUAAGUUGAACGCCCGGAUGUGAUUGGACGGUCAGUGCAUUCUGUGCAGAAAAUUGGUCAACUAAAAAUUUGAAAAUCACGUCUUGACGUUCUGAUAAGCGCACAUUCUGGGAUUCCAUGUUAUAAAACCAGCCAUCUAUCUCCCGCUGGACAGCUUCAGGAACCACACCACGAUGAGCUGCUGUAGAUGGGCAUAAGUAGGUGGAGCCUGGGGUGGUGGGGCCUGAGAAGCAUCAACUUGGGGAAUUAUGAAACCCAAUCCCCUAGGGUGAUUUACCCCACCUGUCCACACUUUGUACCUGCUGAUCAACUUGUGGUCCAAAACUGGCAUCGGCGUUUAGAUCAUCUCAUCUGAUUUCCAUUUCACUCCGAACUUAGCACAUAAAACACAGAUGAGAGACGGAUGUGGUAACCCUCCUGUGGUUCCACCUCGAGAUUCUCGGAGAAUGGACUACUGGAUCACGUGACCGACAUCUAUUUGCAAGCCAUGGAUAAUUGAAUAUAGCAGCACCGCUCUUUCUUUGGUGACAUGGCUCACAUGCAUGCAUGACAUGAGUUUGGCACAUAUGAAGGCAUACCACGCCUUCCCAUACAGGCUGAGAUGAGAGUGGCUGAAGGUUAUGCUACCACGUUCAUGCACUGUCCAUGUGGUGCCCGGUUGACACAGCUCUCAGAUUAUCUUCUCAUAAUCUGGACAUUGGCUCAGCAGCCCGGCAUACUCGUCGUUAAGAUCUUCCAAAUCCAUUUGAUAGCACCCAUUUAUGUCCUCUUCCCCGAUUUCCACGGUUUUUCCCCUGACAAAGACUUCAUAGUGAUCGUGUUCUGGAACGUUGGCAUAGAAUUCUUUUAUAACUGCAAUCACUGCUGGAUCGGGCUGCUCGGUGAGUGUGAACCAGUUUCGCUCCGCUAUCAUCACCGCUAUUUCCCCAUCUUUGGUUUGGUCUGGCCGUAAACCACGUUCGGGGACGAGAGAGCGGGUAGCCAUCUUAUUGUAGCGCUCCUGUGCCUUGGCGGAGACAAACCGGUGGCUAUCAAAUCUCGGUGGGGCCGAGGCAGAACCGGAACCGUUGCUAUGUUAUCAUUUGGAAGCCAUGUUGUAUAUUUCUUUUGAAGAUAAACGAGAGAUAUGACAAUUAUGGAAACAGUGAUCCAAGGAACAAGACAUGUGAACUUGUGUUUCGAAUUAUGCAGAUAUCUUUGGUCAAUUUUCAGUUACCAAUUGAGAGCAUUAGAGAUGUGUGAGUUAUAAUGAGAGAAAGGGGAAUAAGGAUAAUCGUUCAGCAAUAAAGCCCUUCAAGGAUUCUAAAUUUAAACCGCAGCGCCGGGGCGCUGGUCCAAUGUCAUAGGUUCUGUCUUCAAGCGCCGGGGCUCUGAUAUGUGCCUAUGGCCGAGCGCCGGGGCGCUGGCCUGGUCUGAAACUAUUGGAAGCUAGCGUCGGGGCGCUGUGGGCUAUGUUGCUUGGGUACCGGGGCGCUGAGCCUGCUUUGAAGCUGCUGCCCUGGCUGUGAUCCUAUACGUUUUGCGCGCCGGGGCGCUGGACUUCAUCAACUGUGCUACUGUUCCCAUUUUUGCUCGCCCUGUAUGGAAAUCUGUUGGAUAUGGAACAAGUGGGUAAAGCAUAAAAAUUAGUAUACCAUAGUACUAAAAAAACUACUAGAAAUAAAUAUAUAUAUAGAAUGACUAAAAAUAAAAUAAAAUAAAUGAAUUUUUUUUUUUUGGGGUUGCCUCCCUAAAGCGCUUGGUUUAUCGUCGUCAGCCCGACUUUUCGGUGUUGCUCAGUUGUCCAUUGGUUCGGAGAGGUUCAUGACCGUAGUUUGACGUUCAAUUGGUCCACUCCAGUAAUGUUUGAGUCUUUGACCGUUAACCUUGAAUGUGCAAUUUGAAUUUGGUUUCUCGAUCUCGAUAUUACCAUGUGGUGUCACAAACACAACCUUAAAAGGUCCUGACCAACGAGAUUUCAAUUUCCCAGGAAAUAAACGCAAUCUGGAGUUGAAAAGCAGGACGUGUUGGCCCGGUACAAACGUUUUAUUGAAAAUUUUCUUAUCAUGCCAAGCUUUGACUUUCUCCUUGUAUAGUUUUGCGUUUUCAUAGGCGUUGAAUCGGACUUCAUCCAUCUCGUUUAAUUGCAGUAACCUUUUUUCACCUGCUGCUUGUUCAUCAAAAUUGAGCUUUCGAAUGGCCCAGUGUGCACUAUGUUCUAGCUCGACUGGGAGGUGGCACGCCUUUCCGUAAACCAUUCGAUAAGGUGACAUACCGAACGGAUUCUUGUAUGCUGUACGAUAUGCCCAUAGAGCAUCGUCAAGACGUAAAGACCAAUCUUUUCGUGACGGAUUUACCACCUUUUCCAGAAUUCUCUUAACCUCCCUAUUCGAGACCUCAGCUUGGCCAUUAGUUUGGGGAUGAUACAUAGCUACGAUUUUAUGACGAACCCCAUACUUCACCAACAAUUUUGUGAACUGCUUGUUACAGAAAUGCAUUCCCUCAUUACUUAUUAUUGCUCGCGGAGUCCCAAAUCGCGUGAAGAUAUUUUUCUUUAAGAAUCGAAGGAUGACGUUAGCGUCAUUUGUGGGCAAAGCUGCAGCUUUUACCCAUUUGGACACAUAAUCCACCGCCAACAAAAUAUACUGAUUAUUAAAAGAUGAGGGGAACGGUCCCAUGAAAUCGAUUCCCCAGACGUCGAACAGCUCUACCUCCAAUAUAGAGUUGAGUGGCAUUUCAUUUCGCUUGGAGAUAUUACCUACACGUUGGCAUCGAUCACACUUUAGCACAUAGAGAUAUACAUCCUUGAAUAAUGAAGGCCAAUAGAAUCCUGAUUGUAACACCUUAGCCGCAGUUCAAUCACCGGAAUAAUGACCUCCAUAAUCGGAUGAGUGGCAAUGACCCAAGAUACUGUCCAUCUCUUCAUGUGGCACACAACGUCUAAUCAUUUGAUUUGCGCAGGCUUUAAACAAGAAUGGUUCAUCCCAAUAGUACUACUUCACGUCAUGGAGGAAUUUCUUUCGUUGUUGCGAGUUCAAAUCCGGUGGUAGUACUUUAGCAACCACAUAGUUCACAUAAUCAGCAUACCAAAUAUUUGAUUGCAGAAUGAUCCGUGUAGACAAUGACCUUGGUCCCGAUGAGGUAUGCUCUGAAUUUGUCGAAGGCAAACACAACUGUAAGUAGUUCUUUUUCGGUGGUUGUGUAGUUCAACUGAGCAUCUGUCAACGUCUUGCUUGAGUAAUAGAUUAUAUGGAAAAUUUUGUCGUGACGUUGACCCAAAACUACUCCCACUGCAUAGUCGCUGGCGUCGCACAUCAAUUCGAAUGGUAAAGACUAAUCGGGCGCCACAAUGAUUGGAGAAGAAACUAACUUCUUUUUUAAAAUCUCGAAUGCCUCGAUACAUGACUGAUCUAUUUUGAAGGGCACAUCUUUCUGUAACAGGGAACACAAGGGUUUUGAAAUUUUUGAAAAAUCUUUGAUGAAACGUCUGUAGAAACCCGCAUGUCCCAAGAAGCUCUGUAUUCCUUUCACCGAUGAUGGAGGUGGUAAGUUCUCAAUAGUCUCAAUCUUUGCUUUAUCCACCUCUAAUCCUGCUGCAGAAACCCUAUGCCCGAGAAUAAUCCCUUCUUUCACCAUAAAGUGGCAUUUUUCCAAGUUAAGAACCAGAUUAGUCUCCAUGCACCAUUUCAACACUAAAAUCAGAUUUUUCAGGCAAAGAUCAAAGCUAUCACUGAUCACAGAAAAAUCAUCCAUAAAUACCUCCAAAUUUUUCUCGACCAUAUCGGAGAAAAUUACCAUCAUGCAUCGUUGAAAGGUUGCUGGUGCAUUGCAUAAACCAAAAGAUAUACGCCGAAAUGCAAACGUACCGUAUGGGCAUGUGAAUGUCAUUUUCUAUUGAUCCUUCGAUGCUAUAGAAAUUUGAUUAUAUGCAGAAUAACCAUCCAAGAGACAAUAGAACUGAUGUCCAGGUAGCCUAUCCAACAUCUGAUCAAUGAAUGGCAAGGGGAAGUGAUCCUUGCGUGUGGCUUUAUUUAGCUUGCGGUAGUCCAUGCAUACUCUCCAUCCUAUAACUGUUCGAGUAGGGAUGAGCUCAUUAGCUUCAUUCUUCACCACUAUCAUACCCCCUUUCUUUGGUACGCAUUGUACAGGACUUACCCAUGAACUAUCUGAGAUCGGGUAAAUAAUGCCAGCAUCCAACCACUUUAUAAUUUCCUUUUUCAGCACCUUCUUUAUGAUGGGGUUUAGCCUCCUUUGCAUCUCGAUGGUUGGUUUUGCCCCCUCUUCCAUUAAGAUUUUAUGCAUACAGAAUGACGGGCUAAUACCUCGAAUGUCCGCUAUAGUCCACCCAAUUGCUAUUUGAAAUUCUCGCAAGACCCGUAGCAGUUUCUCCUUUUGCGUGUCAGUCAAAUCUAUCGAAACAAUCACUGGUAGGGUAUCGUCUUUUCCCAGGUAAGCAUAUUACAGAUGGGAUGGUAAUGGAUUUAAUUCUAGCACCGGUGGCUCUUCUAUUGAUGGUUUAAACUUUUUACGUUCCGCUUCGGGCCUCUCUAUGGUGUCGAAGGAUUAAGUGCUUUUCCGAAAAACUGAUGGUGUGUCUAGCCAUUUGACGUAUUCGAUAUCCUCUUCAAUACCAUAUUCGUCUGCCCCGAGCAAAAUAGAUUCAAGUGGGUCCUCCAAAAAAGUUGUGCUGAAUUUAUGAUUCACCAAUUCCUCCAUGAUAUCAACCCGCAUACAUUCACCUUUUUCUUUUGGGUACGACAUUGACUUGAAAACAUUAAAGGUGACUUGUUGAUCUUCAACUCGCAUUGUCAAUUCACCUUUUUGAACAUCGAUCAAUGUUCUGCCUGUCGCCAAAAAUGGACACCCAAGAAUGAUCGGGAUUUCACUGUCCACUUCACAAUCCAGAAUAAAGAAAUCCGCAGGGAAGAUGAAUUUAUCCACUUUUACUAACACAUCUUCAACUAUACCUCGUGGAUAUAUAACCGAUCUAUCCGCUAACUAUAAAAUGAUAUUUGUUAGGCAUGGAGCCUGAAGUCCGAACUGGCUGUAGACGAAUAAUGGCAUUAGAUUUAUACUGGCCCCCAAAUCACAUAAAUCUCGUCCCGAAAACUGAUUUCCAAUCUCGCACGGAAUAUUAAAGCUACCUGGAUCCUUGAGCUUCGGCGGUAAUUUAUUCUGAAUGAGAGAACUGCAUUCCUCUGUCAAUGCUACUGUUUCAAAUUCACCCAAUUUCCUCUUCUUCGACAAAACCUCCUUCAUAAACUUCGCGUAACUCGACAUUUGUUCCAAGGCUUCGGCGAAGGGGAUGUUGAUAUGCAAUUUCAUGAAGAUAUCCAAAAAUCGUGAGAACUGCUUAUGUAACUUUGAUUUCUGAAAUCUCUGCGGAUACGGUAUGGGGGGGAUUGUGCUGGUUGGUUCCGAAUUUUUCUGCUGUAAGGUCUCAUCUUGACGCUUUUCGGUCUCUACCACUUCCUCUGUUUCAAUUGAUGCCUUGUCCUCCUUUUCCCUAUCCGUGACUGACUCUUGUAGUUCUUUUCCACUUCGUAGAGUUACCGCCUUACAAUGCUCAUUUCUACCCGGGUUUUUCUCGGUGUCGCUUGGAAGUGUUCCAAGUGGUCGGUUAUUCAAUGCAUGUGCCAUUUGUCCCAUUUGAUUUUCCAGAUUUUUGAUUGAUGCAUUCUGACUUUGUAUAAUUAGCUCCAUUUGAUUAAAUCUCUUAUCACUCUCCUCACUCCUUUUCUCAGUUGCUUUAACAAAUCUUUCCAAGGCUUCUUCCCAACUUGCUUUCCGCACAGGUUGUUGUGUCUGGUUUUAAAACCCAGAAUUGUUUUGUUGUCUCGGCGCUUGUUCUGCAGCUUGGUUGUUACUCCAUGAAAACCCUGGAUGAUUUCUCCACCCCGGAUUAUAUGCAUUUUGAUUCAGAUAAGGCUGAGUAGACUGACUAUAACUCCCCACAUACUGUGCUGCUUCAGCAUUUAUGGCACAUUGAUCCGUAGUAUGACCCCCAGCACAUAUUUCACAAACCAUCGCUACCUGCUGAGUGGAUUGUGGACACAAUAAUUCUAUCUGCUUAGCCAUUGCGGUCAUUUGCACUUGUAAUGAUGUUAUCGCAUCCACGUCAUACUUUCCCGCUAUUUUUCGGAGGAUUAGUCCUUGUCAUGGGCCACUGAUAGUUGUUGGUGGCCAUUGUUUCUAACAACUGAUAUGCCUCGUCUAAAUUUUUAGACAUAAUCGCUCCUCCUGCUACUGCAUCAAUACUUUCCCUCGUGGAUGCUUGUAAACCAUCACAAAAAAUCCCCAAUUGCAUCCACUGUGGAAUUCCAUGGUGUGGGCACUUGUGGAGCAUAUCCUUAAACCUUUCCCACACCUCAUACAACGAUUCUGAAUCAAACUGUUCGAAGGUAUGAAUAUCAUUCUGUAGUUUUGCUGACUUUGCUGGUGGGAAAAACCUAGCUAGGAAUUUUUGAGCUAAGUCGUCCCGAGUGAGGAUUGAGUCUGAAGGCUGAGAGUGUAACCAAAUUCGUGCUUUAUCUUUCAAGGUAAAAGGGAACAUUCUCAACCUUAUAGCAUCUUCUGACACGUUGUUGAAUUUGAAGGUGUCGCAAACUUCCAAGAAACUUAAGAUGUGCUCAUUCGGAUCAUCUAAUGAACUACCUCCAAACUGACAUUGAUUCUGAAGCAUUUGAAUGGUUGUUGGUUUGAUCUCAAAGGUGUUAGCAUUGAUUGCCGAUCUCCUAAUGCUCGACUGUAUAUCCGUGACAUUCGGCAUGGAAUAGUCCCGAAGUGGUUUCUGAUCGUUCCCUGUCAUGUUCACUGGAAUUUCUUGUUCCUCCAGUCUCUCUUCCUCGGGUGAUACCGCAUUAGUCGAUUGCCCUUUUCGGAACUUCCUUUCAAUCUCGUCUGUAUAAAGAAAAAGUUCCCUUCUUACCCUUGAUCUAGUGUGCAUACACUUGCAAAGAAUUCCUGCGAAAAUAAGAAGGAAAAUAAGUAACGUUUAAAUUAAGACCGAAUUGAUUAUAACUAAUAUGGAAUUAAUAUUAACAAAGAAUUCCCCGGCAACGGCGCCAAAAACUUGUUGGCUGAUUUCACAAUCAAAGCAAACGUGCAAGUAUACACGAUCAACAAGUAAUAUAGUGAUAAAUUAGAGUGUCGAUCCCUUAGAGAAUUCUAAUUAAUAAACUCCAACUACUAAUACAGUAUCAAUUCAAUUUUAUUUAAACAACCAAAAAUUGUGAUUUUUAAAACUAAGAAAACUAAUUUUACUAACGCAAGAAAUUAUUCUAAAAGAAAACAAAGAACAAAUUAAGAAUUAUUUGAAUGCAGAUAAAUGACAAUUAAGACUCCAAUUUCCCCAAUUAUGAUUAUUAAAUCAAUUAUCCCAUUAUCCCAAUUAUUAUAUCUACUGAAUUGUUAACAGGAAUUCUCAAAUGCCAAAAGCCUCUCUCGAGUGAUCAAUUGCCUUCUAUUUAACCCAGAUUAAUUUUGCUAUAUCUCUAUGCAAAACAAUUGAAUUAAACUCGUUAUAAACCCAAUAAAUUUUAUGUUACAUGCGGCAAAUAGAUAUUCUCAUUCUAUUCACAAACCUAAUUAUUCAUUGUGCAAACAACUAAGUCACAUGUCACCCUACCCAGUUCUAACUCUAGAAUUCCUCUCUCAAUUCCUUCUAGAGUAACACGGUAAUUAUUGGCCAGAUAAUUAAUCAAUAAAUACAAAGCAUGAUGAACAAUUCACUUCAACAUAAAUAAUUGGAAUAAAUUAGAUAAUCAAUUCAUAACCAUAAAAGGUUCCAUUGGAAUCUUAAUAAAAGGAAUUAGUCAUGACGGAAUUAAAAACCAAUAAUCGUUUGUAAAACAUCCUUAAAGAAUUACAAAUUGAAAAUAAGGAGAAGAAGAAGAAAACUUUGUUGCCAAUCCUUAGUCUUCAAGUAAUCCUUGUAAUAGCCCCCAAUGAAUGAAUGAUUGAAUAGAUGAAUCAAACCCCCUUAAUUUCAGCACUUGGUCUCUUUUUAUAUCUUCCACAAUCCCAAUCCAAUUAGGCUUCACAUAAGCUCCCAAUAAUCAAGUCAGCCGAAAGUCAACGCUCGCAUCCUGGUCAACACCCACCGAGGCUCAGCGCCCCGGCGCUGUGCUUAGUGUAAUUUCCAGCGCCCCGGCGCUGAACUUCUCUAAAAUUACCAUAUUGCCAUUAAAUGCCCGAAACUCCCAUAAACGCCCCUGCAGCUCCCGAUUCUGCAAAACAACAACUAAACACAAUAAAAAUACUUCUAAAGAACUUGAGUAUACAAUAAUUUAAGUCCAAAUAUAUCCAAUUCAUGGGUAUAUUACGCAAUUAUCAGACAGCAUGCCAUGCAAAAGAAGAUAAAAGAGGAUUCUAUAUGCUCAUAUCAAGAAAGACAUGUUUUAUGAAAAGGAUCCUCAAGGGAAGCUCACAACAGAAGAUCAUUGAGCUUAAGACAAAAGGUGUUCAUCAAAAAGUAGAACUUCUCAAAUAUAGGACUGUCAAAGGAAACUACGUUCGUAGUGCUGUCAAAAGAUCGUAGAGUGAUCAAUCCUAAAAAUACUCAUCUCUACGAUACAAGAAAAACUAAGCAAUGAUGAUGAUCCCAGUCAGAAGGAGAAAUGCUGGGCAGCCUUCAAAUGAACAUGAAGAAGAGAGAAUCACAUCUUACUGAGAAGAUAACAUCAACAAUGGGGGAGCAGUGAUCUGUUAAGGAAUAAUAGCACUAAUAAACUUUGAAGAGAUGUACCAGCUAUAGAGUCCAAAAACUUUGUGGCUGAUGAACCAAAUGAAGAUUCAUAGUCAGUAAGAACGUCUCAAAACGUACUACUGAUAACCCUUCAGCCAUCCAAUCCAUAAUCGUGAAGUGCCUACGAUCAACCAUAUGAUCAUAGAGUAAAAGCAGGAGGACACCAAGAUUUCAGCAAUGCAGAUAUGAAGAGCUGGUAGAAGACCUCCCCACCAGAAAAUGUCUAAUGAGAUGUUAUUGCAAAUCAUUGCCAUAGCACUUCAUCUGGAGAUCGCCUCAGGGACAAACCUGACCCUUAGCUCACUCUAAGAGGUUGGCCCUUCCUGAGAUACCUUAUCCCAGAAGGAAUGCUUGAUCUAGUUAAUCUCAAAAUAACCAAGUUAGUCAACGAUCAUAGAGUUGAGUUUGAAGAGAACUAAACGAUCGUAGUGCAACCUCAACGAUCGUAGUGCUACCUCAAUGAUCAUAGCAAAACCUCAGCGAUCGUAGAAUACAACUCGACGAUCGUAGUCCUACCAAAGGGUACUCCAGUUUAUAAGGAGCUUGGAAAAUGAGAUAUUUGCUAAAACUAUUCAAGUUAAGGAGAUAAGCUCGAAUACAUUAGUGAUUGAGCUAUGCUGCAUCAAAGAAAGGAGAAAAGACAAAGUCAUCCACUGUAGCAUCUCUUAAAAGUUGAUCGUUGAGUCAACAAAGGGAAUCGUAGAGUCCACAGCUGACUUAUCAUGCUACUCUACGAAUCAAAAGGUCAACGGUCAAAGCCACGUCAAUUAAACGUCCAUUCUUCUGAUAACUGAAAAGUUGUGGGGAGUUACAGCUUAUUACUGGGCGACGUGCAACCAAUGGACAGUUAACACAUCACUGAGUGUGCAGAGUUAGAUGGAACUGCUAUAAAGACAAUUUCAAAUCUGCAGACAGUUACCAAAAGAUAUUGAACCUUUCUCCCUCCCAUUUUCAAAACCCUAGAAAACUUUUCAAGAGCAAAAUCAGUUAACCCUCCAGAGCCUUACCAAAUCAUAGACAGCAAUCUCUCAUAAACCUCUCUAAAUCAAACACCCACAGUCUUCGAACUAUUUAAAUGGAGAACUGGUAAGUUAUCACCGGCAUUCAGUUCGGAACCAAAUCGUUUGAGAAAUCUGAGAAGAAGUUCAGGGACAUACUUGAACUCGUGAAGAAAGCUGGGUUUUCAGAAUGCCUUGAGGCAAGUACUCGUGUGUACAUUGACCUAGUUAACGAAUUCUACUCAAACGUCUCCAUAAACUCUGGAACUCUGUCUACCAAGGUUAAAGGUCAGACUCUGAAGUUGAAAUCCUCUAACCUAAAUCAAUGCCUAGGUUUUCCUAACCAAAGGCUAAAGAACCUUUAAGAUGUCAACACUGAACAAACAAAGGAGUUGAUGGGGUACCAAAGAAACCCUAGUUUCAAGGACAUGAAGAAGAAGGAGUUUCCUAAAGAAUAUGAGUUCCUAGCUGAAAUUGUUGGAAAGUGCAUACUGUGCAAAAACACUGCACAUGAUACAGUGAUUGACCAACAACUGAAGAUAAUGUCAGCUAUAGUUCUAAAGAAAUAAAUUGACUUUGGAGCUAUCUUUUUCGAUCAAAUCUCCAAGUGGUUAGAGAAAGCUGAGAAGAAGAAAUCCACUGAAAAGCCCCUGACCAAGGUGUUUCAUGGAAGGCUGCUGAGUAUCAUACUGAAGAAGAAGCUAGGAGGGAAAAUCAAGGAUGAAGAGGGAGAAGCCUUGAAUGUGCACAAAGUGAUGUCUCCAUAGUUAUUUGAGAACUGGAAGAAGAACCCUAAGGAGAACAAAAGGCUGACAGGUGGGAACAACAGUAGAGCCUCUGCAAAGAAGAGAAAGAUAGUAGAGGCAGAAAGCUCUGAGUCUGAUGACUCUGUAGCAGCAGAAAUCACACCAGCCAGGAAGAAAUCAAAAGUUAUGAAGAAAGCUGGCGAGGUUAAGAAAGCCCAGGCCCCACUAAAGAGAGUCUCCUCCUUGAACAAAGACAAAGAAGAAAAGGUCCUAACUGCUGAAACUACAAAGAGAAGAAGCAGCAGGUUGCUUCAAGGGCCAGUCAUCAAGAAAGCUAAGGUGGAAGAAAAAUCAACCUUAGCUUCCCAAAUCAGUACAUCUGUUGAAGAAAGGGACGUAGAGUCAGCAGGAGAAAAGGAAACAGAUGCCAAGGUCCAGUCCCCACAGUUAGCAUCCAGCAAUGAAAAUGAAGCUGAUGGGAUGGAACAAAGUGCAGCAACUGCUGAUGAAGAAGAAUGUGCAAGCCCAGUGGCUAAUUCUCAGAGUAGUCACUCUGAUGAUAAAGAAGAAAUCCAAGAUGACCAAAUUGCAUCCCUAAAUGCAACUUCCCCAAUGACCCAAGAUGAUAGGUCAAGUAAUGAUGUAACUGAAGAAGAAAAACUUGCCCCCACCAACCCAGAUAGUCUGUCUGCUGAAUCAGAGAAAUCAAAGCCUGAAGAAGAAGAAGAGUCUGUGUCUCCAAUAGUUUAACCUCCACGAAGAAGGAAAAGCUACAGGCUGCAAGCCCAGUUUGCCUCCAAAAGUAACAGUAGCCAAUCAAAUGCCAUCAUUGAAUUAAGUGAUGAUGAGUCUGUAUCCCCAAUAGAAAGUGCUAAAGAUAAAGCCAGCAGUGAAGAAGAAGAAUAUGAGGAAAUACUUGCUGAAGAAGGUUAUGAUAAUGAAAUGCAGUAAGAAGGAUUCUCUGUUGAAGAUGAUCAAAAAGGCUCUGGACAUGAAAUGCAGCAAGAAGGACUUCCUGCUGAAGCUGAUCUAAAUGGUUCUGGUUCUGAGAAGGAAGAAGUAGGAAAUGAUUCCAACUCUGAAGAUCAGGAAUCAGAAGAUUCAGAACCCUACCCUGUCCUCUCACCUGCUAGAUUUACCAAGAGAAUUGUGGUAGAAGUUCCCAAUGAACCAUCAGAGACUCCUUUUGACAGAUGGGUAAACUAUGGAGGUGAACAACUCAGAGUAAUAAGAAUGACUUCCGUUGACUUAGUCAAAAACUGGAACAAUAUGGAGCUAAACGCUCAACCAUUCUUUACAACCCUGAUGAUUUGCUGAUGAGAUGGUUCUUCCAGUGGAUGCCAUGGGUAAAGGCCUUUACUGAAGGAGAUGGAAGCUACUUCAGCUGGUGUUAUAAGACUUUUCCAAGCAUGGAACUGGUAGCCCAAAACUUCCCAAGGGUGAAGACUUAUGCUACCAAGAUGAUAACAAACCAGCCUCACUUCAAAGUCUAUCGACAGACUGAAAAUCUCUAUAUCCCCUACGAUCGUAGAGUGGAUUCUGAAGGAAGAAGAGCCAUGACCAAGGAGCUGAUCAUAGAGUCUGUUCACUCUACUACUGAUGAUGUUUAAGUCCAAAACUAGAAGCCUCCUUAUGAUCAAACAUUGCUAUCAGACACUCCAUCAUCCUCAACAAGCAAUUGGUUUUCCACGAUUGUUCAGAUUAUCCAAACAUUUGAAAAUAUGUCCAAAGAUGACAAUCAUAGAGUCCAAUCUAUUGUUCAACCUAAAGAUGCCAACCAAAAGGAUCAAACUACUUUAGAGCAGGAACUACUGAAGAGCUCUGAUGAUCUAAGCAAGAAGAUAUCUAUGCUCACUGAAGAAUCACAGAAGCAGACAGUAGCAGGAGAUGAUUCUUUCCAGCACAAGCUUCAAGCUAUCUUGGCUGAUGUAUCUCUUAAACUCCAAGAGAGAGAUAACAUCUAUCAGAAGGCCAUACAAGAUCAGAAGGCAGAAGCUCUACAAAUUCAGAAGGCAAAUGCAGAGCAGAUCGAAGCCCUCUUUGACAAGAUUGAUGAUAUCAGGCAGACCUUCUUAGUGCAACUUGAACUAGGUCAGCAAGAACUAAAGUUUGAAGUUGCCAACUCCUCCUACCUGAAGGAGCAGCUUAAUUCCAACAUGGAGCAGCUCUCUCAAAUGAUUAAUGACAAAAGGGGGAGAAAAAGAGGCAUAGAAAGAAGAGGAACAAGAGGCACUCGAAGAAAAGCAGAGGGACAAGAGAGAAGAAGUCAAAGAAGAAGACAGUAGCUCCUGAAAGAGUAUCAUCAUCUGAGGGGGAGCCAGAAGAUGAUGAUAACAAGAUCGCAGAGUCUGAGGGGGAGCUAGAUCAGAAAGAUGAUGAAGGGGAGCCAAGCAGAGACAGAAGGUCAUCAUCUGAGGGGGAGCAAGAGAAAGAAGAACAAUCAGAUGAGUAGCUGAUCAACAAGCAUCUUUGAAACAUACAUGAAGCCAAUGAGGUACAUCUCUAAACUGUUAGGUAUGUUCUGGAUCCAGGAUGUAGAUUGUGUGAAUAUAUAAAUUACCAUAUCAAUAUAAAUGACAUUCAUGAUUAACUGUUUAGAAAUACAGCUGCUCACUGUAUCUAAGAUUCAUUUAUAACAUGCAUAUGCACUUAUUGUUUUUGUCAUAAUCAAAUAGGGGAGAUUGUCAGGAAUAAACAUGUGAAUGAUAUUCCUAUUUUAUAUAUGAUUUGAUUAUGAUAUAUAUGAAUGAAUAUGCAAGUAUGCUUGCAUUAAGAAAAGCUAUAAAGUCCUUUGUUAGAUAAUAGAAAUAUAUGUACAAGGACUUAGAAUGAAUUGAUCAAAUAUGUUAGGUGGAUCCUACAUAAGUAAAACAACUUUGUAAAGUCCUUAAAAAGAAAUGAUGUACAAGGACUAUAAAUAUAGAACGAUCAAGCUUGUUAGGUUGAUCUUAUGAUGUAAUAGAUAGGCUAGUCUGAUCGUCGAGCACUGUACCAGAAGUCGUAGUCUGCCAGGUGAGUCAAGGUUAACUCGAGAGCUAUCGAGGAAGAAUAGGAGUAUGCAAGAUAGUAGAUCUUGGAGUUCGUAGACUGCUAGGGGAAACGAAGAAAGAUCGUAGUGUAUCUAGUAGAGCUUCCUCGGGAUCGUAGUGUGCUGAGGAAGUCAUGUUCAGAAUCGUAGAGACAGCCUGCCUACGAGCCGACCGGUCAUCUGCCGAAGCCAAGACAGAAACGUAGACUACACUCAGAGUCGUAGAGUCUAUUGAUGCCAAAGACAAGUCAAGGAUCGUAGAUCACACUCUGAGUUCGUAGAGUCUAUUGAUUACAUGCAGAGAUCGUAGUCAAGCAAGAUCAGAUGAGGACAACAAGCACAAGGCAGAAAUCGUAGUGUCAAGAUCUGAUCUCGGGAGCGUAGUGUCUACACAAGCCAAAGCUGAAUCGUAGAGUGCAGAAUUAUGAUCUAAGAAGAAGUGCUCACAAUGCCAAGGAUGAAUCGUAGAGCAUAUACGAUUCUCAACAAGUGAGCACUCCUAGAAUAUCCAAAGAAACGAAACCUCUGGUUUAAGCUGCAAGCUACAUCUAAGGAAACCAGAGAACACUCAACGAAUGGCAUGUAGGCUAACAGAAGAUCUAAGCACCAACCCAAUCAGCAUCAAGAUUGAGUUGUAAGGCCAUUCGUAAUGAAGUCUUCCACAAGGAGAUCCAAAGAAGACUUCAGAAGCUGACUAAGGAAAGUCAGCUAAUGCAGUAGCUAUCAAGUGAAUAGAAGACAACAAUCUUGGAGACAACCAAGAUCGUAGUGUUUGCUAAAAAAAGAAGGAACUGAUGGAAGGUGAACUGAGAUACUGGUCAACCUCUGAAGAGCAAGGCUAAAGUGAUUAAGUUCAGGGUCAGUUCAUUGAUGAUAAGUGAAUGGGAGAUCACAAGGAGAAAGCAAGCUAGACGCGCCACAAAUCUGAAGUGUCUUGAUAUUCAGAAGGGGACCAGAGCAAGGAAUUAGGCCAUCAGUAUCUGAGAACAGUCGAAGCAAACAGAAGUAUUGAAGCACUGCACAAUACAAGGAAGAGGUGUUCUACAUUGAAGAUCCAAGCAACACUCUUCUAGAUCGUAGUGUUAACUCUACCAGUCAAUUAGCAACACUCAACAAGACACUACGAUCAGGUCCUUGAAGACGUGCAUCAAAAUCAUAGAGUUCGAAUUGUUGAAGACUGAAGCAUUGACAAAGGUUCAAUCUGAAGGGUAAUAUUCGGACAAGUGCUUAUUGAAAGCAUCGAUGCAAUAGGACAACCUCUGAUCGAGAAAUCAGAAAGAGGUAAUAAAGUCUUCGACUUUCCCAAGAUAUUAAAGUGAUACAUCUGACAGGGCAGGUGAAACAGUAGACUGCAGCAUUAGAAAAAGUAUGAAUAGUCAUAUCAAGCAGUCUACCUCAAGAAACUCGAGAUCUGUGAAGAUAUUUGAAUAACCUUUAACGAUUACUUUCCAAUGAAAGGAUUUGGAAGGAGUAUAAAUGAGAAAGAGCUUCAAAGAUCAAAGGUUGCUAGAGUUGCCGAGUUUGGAGAGAAGGUGGACUGAUCUAAACUAUAUGAAACAGUGAGUCUGAAGGCUCACUCUAUGAUCCACCAAUAACACUCAGAAGUCAGAUAAAAAAAGAAGUAGAAGUGUGAGUUCUACUAUGUAGAAGUGAGAGCUCUACUACAUGAAGAGUGUUCAGAACUGCCGAGAGAAAGAAGAGCAUCAUAACAUCUUGAUGUCCAUCAUGGGAAGACUCUAAGUACAAUAGAAAAGAGCCUACAGUCAUCUUAGCAAGUCCAUCAUGAGAAGACAUCAAGUAGCAAAAGGGAGAUCACAAAAGACAUCUUGGUGUCAAGCAUGAGAAAGCUUCCAAGUACCUAAAAGAAGAGCCUACUGUCAGCUUGGAAGCCUCUCAUGUGCAGACAUCAAGUACCAAGGAGAAGGAUCUUCAAGGCAGUUCACAAAGGGGUCAUCCAGAGUAGUUGAGCAACCUAAGAAGCUGAGCAUCAUGCAUCACUCAGCUGCUCUUCAAGGAUGAUCAAGCAAAGCUGCUAAGGAUAGAAGUUGUUCAGAGCAUGAAGACAUCUUAGCAGCUCAGCACCGACUCCAACAACAACAAACAAACAACUCAACAAAGCCAGGGCCUGAGGGGUCCUUGUCCAGAGGGACUAAACAAAGCAGGGCCAAAGGGUCCUUGUCCGGAGGGACUAAAUGAAGUUCCAAGCCUGCUGGGCUUGAAGAGUUCCUAGGGAACUAGUGGAGUUCCAAGGCUACUGGUCUUGAAGAGUUCUUAGUGAACUGAAGUCCCAAGGCUGCUGGCCUUGAAGGAAUCUUUGUGAUUCAGGGUGCUGCCCUUCCUUAGUGGAAAUCCUGCUAGUUGAAAGCAGAAGAGUGGAUUAGGAGCUUGAGUCUCUNNNNNNNNNNNNNNNNNNNNNNNNNNNNNNNNNNNNNNNNNNNNNNNNNNNNNNNNNNNNNNNNNNNNNNNNNNNNNNNNNNNNNNNNNNNNNNNNNNNNNNNNNNNNNNNNNNNNNNNNNNNNNNNNNNNNNNNNNNNNNNNNNNNNNNNNNNNNNNNNNNNNNNNNNNNNNNNNNNNNNNNNNNNNNNNNNNNNNNNNNNNNNNNNNNNNNNNNNNNNNNNNNNNNNNNNNNNNNNNNNNNNNNNNNNNNNNNNNNNNNNNNNNNNNNNNNNNNNNNNNNNNNNNNNNNNNNNNNNNNNNNNNNNNNNNNNNNNNNNNNNNNNNNNNNNNNNNNNNNNNNNNNNNNNNNNNNNNNNNNNNNNNNNNNNNNNNNNNNNNNNNNNNNNNNNNNNNNNNNNNNNNNNNNNNNNNNNNNNNNNNNNNNNNNNNNNNNNNNNNNNNNNNNNNNNNNNNNNNNNNNNNNNNNNNNNNNNNNNNNNNNNNNNNNNNNNNNNNNNNNNNNNNNNNNNNNNNNNNNNNNNNNNNNNNNNNNNNNNNNNNNNNNNNNNNNNNNNNNNNNNNNNNNNNNNNNNNNNNNNNNNNNNNNNNNNNNNNNNNNNNNNNNNNNNNNNNNNNNNNNNNNNNNNNNNNNNNNNNNNNNNNNNNNNNNNNNNNNNNNNNNNNNNNNNNNNNNNNNNNNNNNNNNNNNNNNNNNNNNNNNNNNNNNNNNNNNNNNNNNNNNNNNNNNNNNNNNNNNNNNNNNNNNNNNNNNNNNNNNNNNNNNNNNNNNNNNNNNNNNNNNNNNNNNNNNNNNNNNNNNNNNNNNNNNNNNNNNNNNNNNNNNNNNNNNNNNNNNNNNNNNNNNNNNNNNNGCUCCGAUCAGAACAGCCUCAUGACUGAAACUGUUUAAUACAAUUUUGAAGCAUAUGACACCUAGCAUCAAGUGAAAAGGAACUAUACCUAUUAACAAGAAAGUUCAAUCCCUCAAGCUGAUAAUCUCGAAGUUUCCCCCCCUUCAACCAUUCAGGCUGUCCAUCAAGCUUCCUCAAACUUGCUACAAUUAAUAUUUUCAAGUAAAAUCAUAUGUUUUCAACUUCUGGUAAAGUAAAUUGAUGCUAGAAAUAGAAAAGGAAAACAAAAAAAAAGAGAGAGUUGCAAUUUUAUAAACUUCUAACAGAAGACAAAAUAUGUAAACACAUAUUAACACAUUAUCUAGAAACAAUUACACUAAAAAAAUAAAAAACCAUCAAACAUAGAGGGCCAGUUUAUAUAGUGGUUCUAUUUUCUAUCAAAAUUUUCUAAAAUUUUAGAAAAUCAAUUUGCAGAGUUCUCCCAUUUUCUGUUUUCAAAACCAAAUAUGAAAUGAUGGCUCUACGAUGAUUAAGAAUUUACUAAAAUUUCUUAUACUAGGAAUCUUAUCUUAUGCACUUAAGAUAUAUGCAACCUAUUUUUUUCUUAUUUCCACAUAAAUUCACCAAGUAAUUUGGAAGAGACUGUCAAAAAUGAAAAGCAGAGAUGUCCUCAUUUUGAAAUUUAGAAAACAAAAACAGAAAAUAAAGAGCCCAAAUUUAGCAAGAUGAUAAUCAAACUGGUAAGAUAGUUAAUAAAACAGACCCUAAAUUGCGUUAGCUUCCUAGAUUUCUGUCCAUGGUAAGGUAGGGGAGAAUAUGUAACUUAUCACAUCAUACCUAGGAAAAUUAAUGGGACAAGUGAACACUAAUCUUUUUCUUGUCAAAAGUCACGGUAAACACAACAAACUCAUGGCCAUUAAAAUCUUGAGAUGUUCAGCAUGAAAAUCAGAUUAAGCCCAACUUCCGAAACCAUUAAGAGGAUCUCAACAUCAGCACAACACAAAUAUGUGGCAACAUCCUAAUAAAACAUCCCAAUCUUCCAUAAAAUUCCCACAUGUCCACCUCUUUUUAAUGAUUUUUUUCUUUUAAACCAAACACAUCAUACAGUUCAAGAAUAUUCGAUUGCAACUCCUUUGAAUAAUGGGCAUAGACAAAACAUACAUAUAAAUUCCUCUUAUGUCCCCAAAAAAAGAUUAAGAAAUAAAGAUUCCUCCAAGAUUAUUUGGACAUCACUACGGCACUAACAAUUUGAUUAAAAAUAUAUAUAUUGUUUAAACUAGUAGUUGAGUAUAUACCAGAAAUUUCUUAAAAGGAUAUCACAUGUCCUAAAUUAAUUCAAGAUAAAGAACAUAGAUAGUGGGAGAAUCAAUAUGACUACAUAACAAUAAAUCUACAGUUUUAAUUUAAACAAAUCAAUUGAGGGAUGAAGUGAACUAGACAGACCUCUCGUCCAGAGGAGUGACGAGAGGACCUUUGUUAGCCGUGAUUUCGGCAUCGCUAACGACCCCAACAACCAAUUUAGCCUUGGAGAAAGCUCGACGGUUGACGGCAGCUCCGACGGCGGUGGAGGAGGUUUAGAGCGAGAGCGUUGGCGCUGCUUGAGGUAGAGUUGGAAGAAUUAGAAGAGAGCACAGGGUAUGACUAAAAUUUUAGAAGAAUUUUUCAUAGGGUUAUAUUUAGGGAAUAAUUGGGGGAAUAUUGAAUUGGGAAAACGUACAAAGCUUGAGAGAGACAGAAGCAGAGGGACGACGACGACGGUGGAAGAGAGGGACGGUGACGGGGAAGAGAGGCCACAAUCGAGAGGCAGGAGGCUAAGGAGUGAGGAAUUUCAGAUCUGGCGUACAGAGAUAGGAGAGAGAAGAAAGUAUGGUCGUGUUUUAAUUUCAAAUUUUGUCUUCCGCGUUUUUAUC